UAGAGCAACGGACUGUUAAUCCGUGUGUCCCUGGUUCGAGCCCAGGUCGAGGAGCCA
rnacentral:tRNA from 1 species